rnacentral:misc_RNA from 1 species
GAUGAAGAACGUAGCGAAAUGCGAUACUUGGUGUGAAUUGCAGAAUCCCGUGAACCAUCGAGUCUUUGAACGCAAGUUGCGCCCGAAGCCAUUAGGCCGAGGGCACGCCUGCCUGGGCGUCACACGUCGUUGCCCCCCCAUCUACUCCUUCGGGAUUGCGGGGGGCGGAUGAUGGCCUCCCGUGCGCCUCGUCGCGCGGUUGGCAUAAAUGCCAAGUCCUCGGCGACGCACGCCACGACAAUCGGUGGUUGCGAAACCUCGGUUGCCCGUCGUGUGCGGUCGUCGCGCAUCGAGGGCUCGAAAAAAUUGCCGGGCUCCGGCUCGGCGUUCAACGCGACCCCAGGUCAGGCGGGGUUACCCGCUGAAUUUAAGCAUAUCAAUAAGCGGAGGA